GACGAACCGUGCGAACGUUAUUCGGAAUCACUGGGCUUAAAGCGCGUGUAGGCGGGCCAUCACGUCGGUCGCUGAAAUCCCCCGGCUCAACCGGGGAACGGGCGCCGAUACGAGUGGCCUGGAGGGGGGUAGGGGGGGCCGGAACUCACGGUGGAGCGGUGAAAUGCGUUGAGAUCGUGAGGAACGCCCGUGGCGAAAGCGGGCCCCUGGACCUUGCCUGACGCUGAGACGCGAAAGCCAGGGGAGCGAACGGG
rnacentral:rRNA from 1 species